GACGAACGCUGGCGGCGUGCUUAACACAUGCCAGUCGAACGAAGUGGCGAACGGGUGAGUAACGCGUAAUCAACCUGCCCUUCAGAGGGGGACAACAGUUGGAAACGACUGCUAAUACCUCAUAAUGAAGGAGGGGAAUGCGUCUGAUUAGCUAGUUGGAGGGGUAACGGCCCACAAAGGAGAUGAUCAGUAGCCGGUCUGAGAGGAUGAACGGCCACAUUGGGACUGAGACACGGCCCAGACGCCUACGGGAGGCAGCAGUGGGGAAUCUUCCGCAAUGGACGAAAGUCUGACGGAGCAACGCCGCGGGAGUGAUGACGGCCUUCGGGUUGUAAAGCUCUGGUACUCGGGACGCGGUACCGGAAUAGAAAGCCACGGCUAACUACGUGCCAGCAGCCGCGGUAAUAC
rnacentral:rRNA from 1 species